rnacentral:rRNA from 1 species
GAUGAACGCUGGCGGCGUGCCUAAUACAUGCAAGUCGAGCGAACGGGCGAGAAGCUUGCUUUUCUGAUGUUAGCGGCGGACGGGUGAGUAACACGUGGAUAACCUACCUAUAAGACUGGGAUAACUUCGGGAAACCGGAGCUAAUACCGGAUAAUAUUUUGAACCGCAUGGUUCAAAAGUGAAAGACGGUCUUGCUGUCACUUAUAGAUGGAUCCGCGCUGCAUUAGCUAGUUGGUAAGGUAACGGCUUACCAAGGCAACGAUGCAUAGCCGACCUGAGAGGGUGGUCGGCCACACAGAAAGUGAGACACGGUCCAGACUCCUACGGGAGGCAGGAGGAGGGAAGCUGCCGCAAUGGGCGAAAGCCUGACGGAGCAACGCAGCGUGAGUGAUGAAGGUCUUCGGAUCGUAAAACUAUGUGAUUAGGGAAGAACAUAUGUGUAAGUAACUGUGUACUUCUGGACGGUACCUAAGCAGAAAGCCCCGGCUAACUACGU